UACGUAGGAGACAAGCGUUGUCCGGAAUUACUGGGUGUAAAGCGCGUGUAGGCGGUAGGCCAAGUCUGCUGUGAAAUCGCCCGGCUCAACUGGGCGCGGUCGGUGGAAACUGGUCAACUGGAGGACGGUAGAGGCGAGUGGAAUUCCCGGUGUAGUGGUGAAAUGCGUAGAUAUCGGGAGGAACACCAGUGGCGAAAGCGGCCGGCUGGGCCUGUCCUGACGCUGAGACGCGAAAGCGUGGGGAGCGAACCGG
rnacentral:rRNA from 1 species